CCACGAAAAGAAUGGUCAGAAAUGGUUAGAAUGAGUUUUGUACUUGUUUUGUUUAGAUCUUCAACGGUUUUAUAUUUUCUACGAUACCGUGAAAACUUUCAGUUUUCAAUUUCUUCAUCAGUUUAACAAAUUGGGUGUUGUGCGAUACACGAUCUACAGAUGUCCUCUAAAGAUAACAUUCCUGCUGCGCUGGCGGAAACGCGACUUUUAUCCCAGCAAAUGCGUGCUUGUUACGACGUAUCUAAAGAUACCUGUAACAUAGGCAAUGCUUCGCUCUCGCUAGAAACGCUACGAUCCAACCUGUUCUCGCUGAUAGAGCAAGCGAAAAUUCGAAUACACAAAGCUAGCGUGAAGCAAACAGCUCCGCUUACGGAAAAACAAGCGAGGAUGUUGAAUGAUGCCAUCUACUCCAUAAGUUCGAUCCUGCGGAAGGAAGAACAGCUGACCACUAUGCAGACUCGGAAAGAAAGUCAGACCACCGCCGUAGUUUGUGGUGAGGACUUCCAGGAACAGAUGAGCACGCUAACAAAGAAGCUAAACUCAAUUUCCAUCGAGAUGGCCAAAUUGAAACGGGCUAAUGAUAACAUCAUGAAUAUCUACUCCAACUAUCAGCUGGAGAAUGAGGAUGAGAGCGAGGAGCAGGAGGAAUCGGACAGCAGCGAGGGAAAUGAUACUGUUUUCAUUAAGUAAAGGGCAAACAAUCAUUUAUUUCAUUUAUUAGGAGUUUAUAUGGCAAAACGUUCCUUUUCAUAAACACUUAUGCUAAUGUAUCUACGGGAUUCGUGAUGUUGAAUACUUAGCGAUUUAAAGGCGUUAAUCAAUAUGCAGGUUGACUAGAUGGCCCGUUAUAGGAUCUCAAUAAAUGGUAGAGGACCAGCUGUUCCUGUUCGUGAUGUCUUGGCGAGUCGUGACCUACCCUACAUGUCCCUUGUAUACAUUUUCCUGAAAUCCAUCCAUGCCCCAGUCUAGUCCCACUCCUUUCCAUCCACAUUCAACAAAACGGCAAGAACACGUCAUAGACCUCGAUUUUGGAAUCAUCAACUGAACCCCACACGAAUCCGCCAGGACCUGAGAACCCGAGGCCUUUCGUGAUAUCUUGGCUUGAACAACAGCGAACAACAACAACGAACCAUCAACUGAACCCCGCACAAUACUUCCAGGACCCGAGGAUUACAAGCCCCUGUCCCAGCUCAUAACAUCGUGGCUUAGCAGAACAAAUCCAUACAUGCUGCAUAUUCAUGGUCAUUCGACGAUCAUCAGACGACCAUUCAACUACAAAACAUUAAUUGAAAAAUAUAUGCUAGUUUUAAGAUAGACUUAAUUUCAGCUCGUAGUCGGCAGCGAGGAUAAAAAAUUUGCUUAAAGAUUUUAAGUCAUCAGAUAUAGAUGGCACCGUUAAACAUUAAAUUGUAUUUGUGCCGUGUCAAAUAAACGAUAGGUGAAGAAAGAAAAAACUAACUUUCCAAUCACUAGUGGUCUUAGUUCGGUAAAUGAUGAUAGGUACAGAAAAGUAAUACAGCCUGUGCCUAUGUGUUCAACGCAGGAUUGUUUUUCCUGUGAUAUGGCGUGGCUUUUAAGCACAGAGCAAUUGAAAAGAAUGGACUUGCACUAAAAUCCUAUGAGAUGAACUUCUAUAGUAACUGAAUGAGAAACCGAAAAUUUUCGCUGUAUAAGACGUCUACACGA